CCAAAGUUGCACUUGCCUUACCUUUCCUUUUUGAUUGAAUCACAAGUUGUAAUAGUUCAUUUGUUGUUUUUGAUUCGUAAAGGGCCAUUUCAAGCAAGUGAAGUGGAAGAGCUCAUAAGUGUUCUUCCCUCAUUUGCUAACUUGACUUAAAGUCUCAUAACCUAAAAAUUGGUAGACGGUGAGUGUGUCUUAGAUCCAAAGUCUAAGUCUCACCUAGGAGACCUCACCUUUACAUUUCCAUUUUCUUUAAGCUUUUCCAUUUGUAAUUUGUUUUUACUUUUGCGUUUAGGGAAUUCGCUUAGAGUCCGGCAUUAGAGUCCUAAAUUCUUUGUUUACUUUGUUUUUGCUUUGCUUUUGAGUCUUCUUUUGUGAUCCUAGAAGUAAUCUUGGAGUAACAACCACUAAGUAAGUAGCCUAGAACACUUUUGGCAAGGAAAAGGCUUGGUACUUAAGCAACCAUAACUGUGCAUCAUCAUGAGAAGAAAUUUGUACUUCAUCCUCUCUCAUCAUCACAAGUGGCGGAGGAUCAAGCACAAAUGCGCCUUAACAAGGAAUGAGAUGAAAAAGAAAAAGAAAGAAAGUUGAAAGAAGAAAAUCAAAGAAGACUAGAAUUAGAGAGAAGAAAAAGAGAGGAAGAGAUAGAAGAAGACAGAAGAAAAAGAGAGGAAGAAGAGAGAGAAGAAGAGAGAAGAAAAGAGGAAGAGAGAAUAAAAGAAAAAGAAAGAGAAGACAAAGAAGAAAUUGAAAGAAAAG
rnacentral:lncRNA from 1 species